rfam:Tncultured Acidilobus sp. JCHS scf1118686607546, whole genome shotgun sequence.
GGGCCCGUAGCUCAGCCAGGACGGAGCGCCGGCCCUCUAAGGCCCUCCAUUUGCCGAGGGGAGCCGGUGGUCGGGGGUUCAAAUCCCCCCGGGCCCG